UACAGAGGCCUCGAGCGUUAGGCGGAAUCACUGGGCUUAAAGCGUGUGUAGGCGGACUUCUAAGUACCUUGUGAAAUCCCACGGCUCACCCGUGGAACUGCUCGGUAUACUGGUCGUCUUGAGCCUUCUAGGGGCGAGUGGAACAAAUGGUGGAGCGGUGAAAUGGCGUAGAUAUCAUUUGGAACGCCAAUGGUGAAAACAACUCGCUGGGGGAAGUGCUGACGCUGAGACACGAAAGCCAGGGGAGCGAACGGGG
rnacentral:rRNA from 1 species